rnacentral:rRNA from 1 species
GCUGGCGGCAGGCCUAACACAUGCAAGUCGAGCGCGAACGGUCCUUCGGGACUUAUUNNAGCGGCGGACGGGUGAGUAAUGCAUAGGAAUCUGCCCAGUAGUGGGGGAUAGCCCGGGGAAACCCGGAUUAAUACCGCAUACGUCCUACGGGAGAAAGCAGGGGAUCUUCGGACCUUGCGCUAUUGGAUGAGCCUAUGUCGGAUUAGCUNGUUGGUGGGGUAACGGCCCACCAAGGCGACGAUCCGUAGCUGGCCUGAGAGGAUGAUCAGCCACACUGGAACUGAGACACGGCCCAGACUCCUACGGGAGGCAGCAGUGGGGAAUAUUGCACAAUGGGGGAAACCCUGAUGCAGCCAUGCCGCGUGUGUGAAGAAGGCCUUCGGGUUGUAAAGCACUUUCAGUAGGGAGGAAGGCCCUAAAGUUAAUACCUUUAGGGAUUGACGUUACCUACAGAAGAAGCACCGGCUAACUCCGUGCCAGCAGCCGCGGUAAUAC